CACUGAGGUGGAGCCUUUGGGACUUUUGCAGCGGGGAGGAGCCUGGCCCCUCCUCUUCCUGUGUGGACCCUCGGAUUCAAGCUGCUGGCGGGAAGUGCGCUAGGCGGAGCUGUGGUCUAGCGAGAGUCCCUGUUUCCCCCUUUUCUUCCUUUUCACAGGAUCUCACCCCAUAAAACCCUGUCUUACCAUUCAAAUUGUCUGUAAGCCUGAAUUUUCGCGGCCCUAAGACAAAGAACCUUGUCUUUCACUGAAUUUAAAAAAAGUCCUGCAACAUUUUUGGUGCACAACGUGGGGGUUCGAGAAGCGAUUUUCUGGUCAGAUUAAGCCAAGUAAAAUGAACUUAACUCAAAGCCUUGAAGACAGAAAAACUUAUAAAAGUACAGCCUGCAGUAUUCUCAUUCAGAAAGAACAACAGGGCAAAAGACCUGAAGAAGGAGCAUACUGCGGUUUUCAGAAUACCAUCGAGGAGGAGAGAGGUCUACUGUUAUGAAUUGCCACAACUUGGAGGCUUAGAACAACACAAAUUAGUACUCUCACAGUCCUGAAGGCUACAGCUCUGCAAUCAAGAUAUCAGCAAGGCCAUCAUUCCACUAAGGCUCUAAGGAAGAAUCCAUUUUUGCCUCUUCCUGCUUCUGGGUGGGGCAGUAGGAGACACUGAAUUCACAUAUCAUUGAAAACCAAAAUAUUAGAAGAGCUUAAGUUUUAAAGAAUGCUGGCAAAUGUUUAAGCGAUCAGCACUGCUGGUUUACUAUAAACAUAAUGGACUACACGUUGAGUACCUUGACAUAUGAGUAAAUUCAUAUAGUACAAAUCAUUCAACACACAUAUCUUGAGAACAAGUGAGAAGACAGCCAUCUGCAAACCAGAGAGAAAGUCCUCAUAAGGAACUGAAUCAAACUUCACCUUGAUCUUGGGCUUCCCAGCCUUUGCAACUGUGAGAAAUAAAUGUGUCUUUAUGCCACCUUGUCUAUGGUAUGUUAUAGCAGCCCAAGCCAACUAAUACAGGCAGGAACUGAAGAAAACAUUACUUACUAGCAGCUGCUGUGAUCAGGUAACUCAAAUUAUUGUUGGUUUUCAGCAGCACCAAAAAGAGUUGGAAAUAGUCUGCUCUGAGCUUCAUGCAGGUAGAACCCCUGUAGUGGCAUCUCUGAACUCUCUGUGUUAUCAGAUUUCCCAAAAGCUCUUUUCCUCUCCCUUUUCCCCUUCCACCUUACCAUUGAUUAUAUCCGUUUCUAUUCAAUCAUAUUAAAUAAUUUCUUACUCAAAAUAUUUAUGGGUUUUAAAUUUUUCUUACUCUUUGAUAUACUUCAACAAAGCAAAGGUAUCUAGGGAGUUAAUUGUCUUGUUUCUGGGUGUCUCUGUGAGGGUGCUG
rnacentral:lncRNA from 1 species